rnacentral:rRNA from 1 species
AGAGUUUGAUCCUGGCUCAGGAUGAACGCUGGCGGCGUGCUUAACACAUGCAAGUCGAACGGGAAACCUUUUAUUGAAGCUUCGGCAGAUUUAGAUUGUUUCUAGUGGCGGACGGGUGAGUAACGCGUGGGUAACCUGCCUUAUACAGGGGGAUAACAGUCAGAAAUGACUGCUAAUACCGCAUAAGCGCACAGAGCUGCAUGGCUCAGUGUGAAAAACUCCGGUGGUAUAAGAUGGACCCGCGUUGGAUUAGCUAGUUGGUGAGGUAACGGCCCACCAAGGCGACGAUCCAUAGCCGGCCUGAGAGGGUGAACGGCCACAUUGGGACUGAGACACGGCCCAGACUCCUACGGGAGGCAGCAGUGGGGAAUAUUGCACAAUGGGGGAAACCCUGAUGCAGCAACGCCGCGUGAAGGAUGACGGUUUUCGGAUUGUAAACUUCUUUUCUUAGUGACGAAGACAGUGACGGUAGCUAAGGAAUAAGCAUCGGCUAACUACGUGCCAGCAGCCGCGGUAAUACGUAGGAUGCAAGCGUUAUCCGGAUUUACUGGGUGUAAAGGGAGCGCAGGCGGGACUGCAAGUUGGAUGUGAAAUACCGUGGCUUAACCACGGAGCUGCAUCCAAAACUGUAGUUCUUGAGUGAAGUAGAGGCAAGCGGAAUUCCGAGUGUAGCGGUGAAAUGCGUAGAUAUUCGGAGGAACACCAGUGGCGAAGGCGGCUUGCUGGGCUCUAACUGACGCUGAGGCUCGAAAGUGUGGGGAGCAAACAGGAUUAGAUACCCUGGUAGUCCACACUGUAAACGAUGAUAGCUAGGUGUGGGGGGUCUGACCCCUUCCGUGCCGGAGUUAACGCAAUAAGCUAUCCACCUGGGGAGUACGACCGCAAGGUUGAAACUCAAAGGAAUUGACGGGGGCC